CAGUUUUCCAGGACUCUUCACCAUGUUUCCACGAAUAAUCAAUCUGUCAGAUUUAUUGUCCGCCCGGGAGUCGCAGUAAUAAAUACAGCGCUACGUGUUUGGCAGCUGCACUAAAUGUUUCAUUCCCGCAUACUGAGCUCUUAUCUGUAACAUCUUUAUUUUUAAAAAGGUACAAGUGGAGCCAUUUCCUGCACCAUGUGACCACCAUCAUGUACCUGGCACAUGAUCCACUGAUGUUCUGUCUGAGGGUCAAACACUGAGCUGCCAGGGAACACUGAUAGUAGGAAUAAUUAACUCCUGCUGCAGACAAAUCAGUGCACUAAUGAGGAGGAGAUACUCACACUUAUUGGACUGGAAGUCUGGGACAAACUGCUCGUCAUCGGGAACCUGAGCUGUAAGAGAGGGAGUGUUAAAGGACUCUUCUCGUCAGCUCUCACCUUCUGCGAUCCAUAUUUCCUGGAGCUGGAUCAGGUCUUGAAAGAGCUCUGAAAGUCAGUUAUAAGCCAAAAUGAAUAUUGACGUUUCCAAAGUGACAACAAGUUUCCGAAUCUCUCUCUCUCUCUCGUACUGUGUUGUGUAACCACUGACGCAGUAAACACUUUGACAUGUGGACAUGA